rnacentral:rRNA from 1 species
AUACGGAGGGUCCGAGCGUUAAUCGGAAUUACUGGGCGUAAAGCGUGCGCAGGCGGUUUGUUAAGCGAGAUGUGAAAGCCCUGGGCUCAACCUAGGAAUCGCAUUUCGAACUGACCAACUAGAGUCUUGUAGAGGGGGGUAGAAUUCCAGGUGUAGCGGCGAAAUGCGUAGAGAUCCGGAGGAAUACCGGUGGCGAAGGCGGCCCCCUGGACAAAGACUGACGCUCAUGCACGAAAGCGUGGGGAGC